GCUGGCCUUCCCGCUGCUGGCGGCGCCUGCCACGCGAGCCGCGCUCUGCGGUUGCGCGCGCCUGCUCAACUGCACAGCGCCUUAUCCCGACGCCGCCGCCCGCUGCUGCGCACCGGCCACGUUCGCGGGGCUAGUGCUGGUGGGCCUGGGCGUGGCCACCGUCAAGGCCAACAUCACGCCCUUCGGCGCCGACCAGGUUAAAGAUCGAGGUCCGGAAGCCACUAGGAGAUUUUUUAAUUGGUUUUAUUGGAGCAUUAACCUGGGAGCGAUCCUGUCGUUAGGUGGCAUUGCCUAUAUUCAGCAGAACAUCAGCUUUGUCACUGGUUAUGCGAUCCCCACUGUCUGCGUCGGCCUUGCUUUUGUGGUCUUCCUCUGUGGCCAGAGCGUUUUCAUCACCAAGCCUCCUGAUGGCAGUGCCUUCACCGACGUGUUCAAGAUACUGACGUAUUCCUGCUGUUCCCAGAAGCGAAGUGGAGAGCGCCAGAGUAAUGGAUGCAGACAACGUAUGUUUUACAGAGUCUUCAUUUGAGGAUUCCAGAAAUUUCAAACAUUACAACCACCCCUCACACGAAAAGCAAAUGCAGAUUCAUUUAGAAAGAAAUCUUUUCCCUGUUCUGUUGUCUCUAAACUGAAG
rnacentral:sRNA from 1 species